GGGGAUUUAGCUCAGUGGUAGAGCGCUUGCCUAGCAAGGAGCAAGGCCCUGGGUUCAGUCCCCA
rnacentral:tRNA from 1 species